GGCACGGCUCGGCCGCCGGGCCCGCAAACCCGCUACGGCUUCGCUCAAAGGCACGAAGCCGCCUUUCGUCCUUGGAGGUGCUCGCAGCAAUGCUCGCGGAGGGGAGCAAACAGCAAUAAAACAGCGGGGAGCAAUAAACAGCGCAGUGCUGCCCAUCAGCGCGUGCUUGUGCCGGGAUUAGCUGUGAGGUCGUUCAUCCUGAGCAGACCCCAGAGAGUGAUCAAGGUGCCGCCGCAGGGGAGUUAGGCAAGCAGAAGAGCAAACACGGGGCCAGGGCUCAGGGCUUGUAGGGUUUUUCCUUGAUCCAGACUGGUUUGCUCUCCUUUAUCAGGAAGGGGGGGGAAGGAGACCCCCACCCCGAGCCUGCCCCUACGGCCACCCGGGGCAGGUUUCCCGCCCACGGUGGUUUAACCUCCUCCUGAUGUCUGCCAUGUGACAGCGGCCUGGCCGGUCGAUCACAGGUGCACCUGCGGUUAAAAGAGUCUUUAUUGCUUCCUCAUGUGUUUCUGGGGGAGGAAUCCUGUUCCUCAGCCCCCAGCCAGCCCUGUGGAGAGUCACACAGUGACUCUGUCGAAGACUCGUGGAGGAAAACCAGUCAUCCCACCAAGAGGAGGUGAUUUGCCAUCAGGGGACCUCGGGACCCCGUGACAGUUUGCUUUCUCACCGUCCUGCUCCAAGAAAGGCAAUGCUUUCAUAACCACGUGCCUUUGCUUAUUUGUUCCACCCUGAGCAUGUAAAUUAAAGACUGGUUUGAGCUGUUUA